UUGGGGAAUCUUCCGCAAUGGACGAAAGUCUGACGGAGCAACGCCGCGUGAGUGAAGAAGGUUUUCGGAUCGUAAAGCUCUUUCGUUAGGGACGAACGUGCUCUUUGUGAAUAAUGAGGAGUAAUGACGGUACCUAAAUAAGAAGCCACGGCUAACUACGUGCCAGCAGCCGCGGUAAUACGUAGGUGGCAAGCGUUGUCCGGAAUUAUUGGGCGUAAAGCGCGCGCAGGCGGGAUAUCAAGUCUGUCUUAAAAGUGCGAGGCUCAACCUCGUGAGGGGACAGAAACUGGUAUUCUUGAGUGUCGGAGAGGAAAGUGGAAUUCCAAGUGUAGCGGUGAAAUGCGUAGAGAUUUGGAAGAACACCAGUGGCGAAGGCGACUUUCUGGACGAUGUCUGACGCUGAGGCGCGAAAGCUAGGGGAGCGAACGGGAUUAGAAACCCUGGUAGUCC
rnacentral:rRNA from 1 species